UACGUAGGGUGCAAGCGUUGUCCGGAAUUAUUGGGCGUAAAGAGCUUGUAGGUGGUUUGUCGCGUCUGCUGUGAAAAUCCGAGGCUCAACCUCGGACUUGCAGUGGGUACGGGCAGACUAGAGUGUGGUAGGGGAGACUGGAAUUCCUGGUGUAGCGGUGGAAUGCGCAGAUAUCAGGAGGAACACCGAUGGCGAAGGCAGGUCUCUGGGCCAUUACUGACACUGAGACGCGAAAGCGUGGGGAGCAAACAGG
rnacentral:rRNA from 1 species